AUUGAACGCUGGCGGCAUGCCUUACACAUGCAAGUCGAACGGCAGCACGGGAGCAAUCCUGGUGGCGAGUGGCGAACGGGUGAGUAAUAUAUCGGAACGUGCCCAGUCGCGGGGGAUAACGCAGCGAAAGCUGUGCUAAUACCGCAUACGAUCUAAGGAUGAAAGCGGGGGGUCGCAAGACCUCGCGCGAUUGGAGCGGCCGAUAUCAGAUUAGCUAGUUGGUGGGGUAAAGGCCCACCAAGGCGGCGAUCUGUAGCCGGUCUGAGAGGACGACCAGCCACACUGGAACUGAGACACGGUCCAGACUCCUACGGGAGGCAGCAGUGGGGAAUUUUGGACAAUGGGCGCAAGCCUGAUCCAGCAAUGCCGCGUGCAGGAUGAAGGCCUUCGGGUUGUAAACUGCUUUUGUACGGAACGAAACGGCCCUUUCUAAUACAGGGGGCUAAUGACGGUACCGUAAGAAUAAGCACCGGCUAACUACGUGCCAGCAGCCGCCGUAA
rnacentral:rRNA from 1 species